GACGUAGGGUGCGAGCGUUGUCCGGAUUUAUUGGGCGUAAAGAGCUCGUAGGCGGUCUGUCGCGUCUGCUGUGAAAACUCAGGGCUUAACCCUGAGCUUGCAGUGGGUACGGGCAGACUAGAGUGCGGUAGGGGAGACUGGAAUUCCUGGUGUAGCGGUGAAAUGCGCAGAUAUCAGGAGGAACACCGGUGGCGAAGGCGGCCCACUGGUCCGGUACUGACGCUGAGGUGCGAAAGCGUGGGGAGCAAACAGG
rnacentral:rRNA from 1 species